AGUGCGAGAGUUAUCACGAUCACAUUAGUGUUGGGAUUUUAUAGAGAACUGAAACAAGGAUUUGCUGAUCUUGGAAUUAUUCUCUUGGUGGAAUACAGAAGUUCUUACAGUUUCAUUAUUUCCAAAAUAAUAACUCCUCCUCCAUUAAGUAUUGGGAAGUUUAGAUGGUAUAAUUACUUGUUCUCAGUUGAGACAGUGGACCAAAGCAGACCAACAUGGACGGAGGGAAAGUCUAAUCAACGUUUUGUACAAAGAUAUCAUCAAAAAAAGAUUCCCAUCGAUUGUGUGGACAAUGCAGAUGGAGCUGACGGUGUGGUCAUCUAUGACGAUGAAACAUUUCCUAUUUCUUUUCAAGAUGCCGUAGAGCGGAUUGCUUCUUGUGACGGACAAGGCCCUAACAGUUCUGUGCAACCUUUCCAAUCUGCCCGUUAUCAGAAUGAGGACCCUGCCGCUCAGGAUCCUGAAGAGACGGACAGUACUUCAUCAUCCAGAUUCCCAUCCAGUGUUUGGACAAUCCUGAUUCUAAUCCUGUGCUACCAUUUCAUACCCAUUCUGAGAAUGCUACUCAGUUAUUCACCAUCCAGACUUCAAGAGGAGGACGACACAGGUGUACUGGAGACGCCUACCCAUUUACACUUCUGACAAUGGGCCAGCAGCAUGAGUUUUUAUUUUAUUGUGCAAAUACAAUUUUGCAUGUACUGUAUGUACUGUGUAUGACAACACCUUAUAUGUAUAUAAAUGUAUAAUAAAAUGUACACUGGUUUUUAAUUCAUGUUAUCCUUGAUUAAUUUCUAGAAAAGUGUUACAUGUAUGUACGUUUUAACAUAUCGCUUGCACAAAAUAAAAUCCCCACCAUGAUGUACUUGUCUAUAUACUGUAAUAGCAAUUUAAAUGUCUACUGUUUUAAUGAUAUAUAAGUUUCCUAUGUUAAACAAGCCAACUGCCAUUUGAUGCUAACAUAGGAGUGUCGGUUGGAUCAAACCAGGGCCAACUGCCAUUUCAUGUUAAUACAAGACAGACGCAUCCUGAUUAGACUGAUUAACUAACGAAAGACAGGACACAGCCAAAUCCUGAUCAAACUGAUUAACUCACUGAACUCACUGUAUCACUCAAUAUUCUGUUUAUCACUCAAUAUUCUGUUUACGUAACUAUUACCUUACAAGCAUCAAAGGGCACUUUGGCUCGGCCCCUGUGGUUUUUUCAUCACCUCGUCUCCAAACUAAAUUGUAUAAAUUGCUUGUGUCUUCUUCCAACCUGUGCUCUCCUACAGACUACGCUGUGUUCUGUAGAACUGGUGCCUUUGAGAUCUCAAAUUAAUGCACA
ensembl:lncRNA